CCUACGGGUGGCAGCAGUGGGGAAUAUUGCACAAUGGGGGCAACCCUGAUGCAGCAACGCCGCGUGAGUGAGGAAGUAUUUAGGUAUGUAAAGCUCUAUUAGCAGGGGAUCGAAAAGCAGGUACCUGAACAAGAAGCCCCGGCUCACUACGGGCCAGCAGCCGCGGUAAUACGUAGGGGGCCAGCGUUAUCCGGAUUUACUGGGUGUAAAGGGAGCGUAGACGGAAAGGCAAGUCAGAAGUGAAAACCGAAGGCUCAACCAUGGGACUGCUUUUGAAACUGUCAAACUAGAGAACGGUAGAGGUAAGAGGAAUUCCUAGGGUAGCGGUGAAAUGCGUAGAUAUUAGGAGGAACACCAGUGGCGAAGGCGGCUUACUGGACCGAAACUGACGUUGAGGCACGAAAGCGUGGGGAGCAAACAGGAUUAGAUACCCCUGUAGUC
rnacentral:rRNA from 1 species